GAGGAAUAUUGGUCAAUGGGCGCGAGCCUGAACCAGCCAAGUAGCGUGAAGGAUGACUGCCCUAUGGGUUGUAAACUUCUUUUAUAAGGGAAUAAAGUGAGGCACGUGUGCCUUAUUGUAUGUACCUUAGGAAUAAGCAUCGGCUAACUCCGUGCCAGCAGCCGCGGUAAUACGAAGGGUGCAAGCGUUACUCGGAAUUACUGGGCGUAAAGCGUGCGUAGGUGGUGGUUUAAGUCCGUUGUGAAAGCCCUGGGCUCAACCUGGGAACUGCAGUGGAUACUGGAUCACUAGAGUGUGGCAGAGGGUAGUGGAAUUCCCGGUGUAGCAGUGAAAUGCGUAGAGAUCGGGAGGAACAUCAGUGGCGAAGGCGACUGCCUGGACCAACACUGACACUGAGGCACGAAAGCGUGGGGAGCAAACA
rnacentral:rRNA from 1 species